GUGCUUGCUUCAGCAGCACAUACACUAAGAUUGGAACAAUACAGAGAUUAGCGUGGCCUCUGCGCAACUAUGGUAUGCAAAUUCGUGAAGCGGUCCAUAUUUAA